GCCUAUGGCCAUGCUACCCUGAACAAGCACGAUCCUGUUUGAUCUUGGAAGCUAAGCAGGGUCGGGCCUCGUUAGUACUUGGAUGGGAGAACAUCUGGGAAGAUCAGGUGCUGUAGGCA
rnacentral:rRNA from 1 species